AGGUUACUGCUAUCGAGGUUCGACUAAGCCAUGCGAGUCGAAUGUAGCAAUACAUGGCGUACUGCUCAGUAACACGUGGACAACCUACCCUUAGGCCUGGGAUAACCCCGGGAAACUGGAAUAAUACCGGAUAUCUCGCGAAUGCUGGAAUGCGUCGCGAUAGAAAGCUCCGGCGCCUAAGGAUGGGUCUGCGGCCUAUCAGGGUAGUAGUGGGUGUAACGUACCUACUAGCCUACGACGGGUACGGGUUGUGAGAGCAAGAGCCCGGAGAUGGAUUCUGAGACACGAAUCCAGGCCCUACGGGGUGCAGCAGGCGCGAAAACUUUACAAUGCUGGAAACAGCGAUAAGGGGACCUCGAGUGCCAGGAUACAAUCCUGGCUGUCGUAAUGCCUAAAAAGCAUUGCAUAGCAAGGGCCGGGCAAGACCGGUGCCAGCCGCCGCGGUAACACCGGCGGCUCGAGUGGUAACCGCUAUUAUUGGGUCUAAAGGGUCUGUAGCCGGCUGACUAAGUCUCUUGGGAAAUCUGACAGCUUAACUGUCAGGCUUUCAGGAGAUACUGAUCGGCUCGAGACCGGGAGAGGUGAGAGGUACCUCAGGGGUAGGGGUGAAAUCUUGUAAUCCUUGAGGGACCACCAGUGGCGAAGGCGUCUCACCAGAACGGAUCUGACGGCAAGGGACGAAAGCUAGGGGCACGAACCGGAUUAGAUACCCGGGUAGUCCUAGCCGUAAACGAUACUCGCUAGGUGUCGGCCACGGUGCGACCGUGGUCGGUGCCGUAGGGAAGCCGUGAAGCGAGCCACCUGGGAAGUACGGCCGCAAGGCUGAAACUUAA
rnacentral:rRNA from 1 species